rnacentral:rRNA from 1 species
CCUACGGGAGGCAGCAGUAGGGAAUAUUGCUCAAUGGGGGAAACCCUGAAGCAGCAACGCCGCGUGGAGGAUGAAGGUUUUCGGAUUGUAAACUCCUUUUGUUAGAGAAGAUAAUGACGGUAUCUAACGAAUAAGCACCGGCUAACUCCGUGCCAGCAGCCGCGGUAAUACGGAGGGUGCAAGCGUUACUCGGAAUCACUGGGCGUAAAGAGCGCGUAGGCGGGAUAGUAAGUCAGAUGUGAAAUCCUAUGGCUUAACCAUAGAACUGCAUUUGAAACUGUUAUUCUAGAGUAUGGGAGAGGAAGGUGGAAUUCUUGGUGUAGGGGUAAAAUGCGUAGAGAUUAAGAGGAAUACUCAUUGCGAAGGCGACCUGCUAGAACAUAACUGACGCUGAGGCGCGAAAGCGUGGGGAGCAAACAGGAUUAGAUACCCGAGUAGUC